GACCACAUCACGUUGAGAUACCGGUUCCCAUACGACUACCGAAGUUAAGCAACGUCUAGUCUGGUUAGUAUCUAGAUGUGUGACCGCUUGGGCAUACCGGAUGCAGUA